rnacentral:rRNA from 1 species
AAAUUGAAGAGUUUGAUCAUGGCUCAGAUUGAACGCUGGCGGCAGGCCUAACACAUGCAAGUCGAGCGGUAACACAGGGAGCUUGCUCCUGGGUGACGAGCGGCGGACGGGUGAGUAAUGUCUGGGAAACUGCCUGAUGGAGGGGGAUAACUACUGGAAACGGUAGCUAAUACCGCAUAAUGUCGCAAGACCAAAGAGGGGGACCUUCGGGCCUCUUGCCAUCAGAUGUGCCCAGAUGGGAUUAGCUAGUAGGUGGGGUAACGGCUCACCUAGGCGACGAUCCCUAGCUGGUCUGAGAGGAU